UACGUAGGAUGCAAGCGUUGUCCGGAAUUAUUGGGCGUAAAGAGCGCGCAGGCGGUACGACAAGUCAGAUGUGAAAUCUUUCGGCUUAACCGGAAGGGGUCAUUUGAAACUGUCGAACUAGAGUGCAGGAGAGGAUAGUGGAAUUCCCGGUGUAGUGGUGAAAUGCGUAGAUAUCGGGAGGAACACCAGUGGCGAAGGCGACUAUCUGGUCUGCAACUGACGCUGAGGCGCGAAGGCUAGGGGAGCAAACAGG
rnacentral:rRNA from 2 species